rnacentral:rRNA from 1 species
UACGGAGGGGGCUAGCGUUGUUUGGAAUUACUGGGCGUAAAGCGCACGUAGGCGGCCUUUCAAGUCAGGGGUGAAAUCCCGGGGCUCAACCCCGGAACUGCCCUUGAAACUGGGAGGCUAGAAUCUUGGAGAGGCGAGUGGAAUUCCGAGUGUAGAGGUGAAAUUCGUAGAUAUUCGGAAGAACACCAGUGGCGAAGGCGACUCGCUGGACAAGCAUUGACGCCGAGGUGCGAAAGCGUGGGGAGCAAACCGG